UCGGUAGAGCGUGAGACUCUUAAUCUCAAGGUUGCGGGUUCGACCCCCGCAUUGGGCU
rnacentral:tRNA from 1 species